AUAAUUUGGCUUGAGUGAUGGGCUUACGUUGAGGAGGAGUGAGAGAUAAGUUUGGAUAAACAAGUUAAGGUCAUGUGCAGAGUGCCUUAAAUACCGGAUAAAAUGUUGUACCCUAUUCUGUGGGCAAUGGGCAGCCACUGAGUGUUUUCAGCAAGAGCAUCAUGUGAGCAUUGAUGUAUGGGAAUAUUGAUCAGAAAUCAUUGUGUUAAGUAGCUUGGAGGAGGGCAGGAGUGGGAAGCCUAUUAGGAGAGCUCACAUAAUUGCUUUGAGAGAGAUGUAGGCCUAGAGUUCAGAGCUUGCUACAGAAACAGAGAGGAUUACUUAAUAGCUCAUCUUUCUUUUCAUCCCAACAUGUGGAGCCAGACUCCCUUUUCCAUUAGACAUAGCUCUGCCAUCCUCCUAGGUGCCAUUCCAGGAGGCAACUGAGGGAAAAGACAAUCUCCAUUUGUCCCAGUUUAGCAGACACAGGUUUUUCCAUUAAAGGAUUGCUCUCAAACUGGAAGGCACCAGAGCAGCGCCUAGAAAUGCAAUCCCCAUAAUUUUGAUUGUGGUCACUUUUAAGACAACGGCACUUUGGGGACUGAAGGAUAUCUCUCUUGAGGUUAAGAGAUGGCCAACUCUGACCUUAUGAUGGAAGAAGCCUUGAAGCCAACUUAAAGCAUAAAUAAAGUCAAUAACAAGGACUCAUGGGAAUGGUCAUCAACGUAGCUACCGUGAAGCUAGAUCUUUGUUCUCUUCCUCCGGAUUCAGCAGACCGGGUAGUCUUACAUCUCCUCCACUCUUGUUGGUGACUAUUGCUGCUCCUGUACAAUCUGAAUAUUAAAGACUCCCUUACUCAUUUUGAGUCUUUUAGUCUCCUUCUGAUAUUUGAUCUGUGACGCCUGAAGAAACAGCAUUCCCUGUUGGAUCAUAGAUGGUUUGAGUGCAAGGGACCCCCAGUUAUACUCUGACUCCUCAGCCCCACCUAUUAUUCAGCCACCAAUGUUGGUCAGAAUAUUGAAAUGUUUCCAAAAGCUGUAGAGUCAUUAUUUUUUUCUGCCACAGUGAAAGCAAAUCCUGAAAUGCCUAUUUACACCCAGAAUUUGGUUAACUUUAAUUAAGGAGUGCUUUCCUACGAGGAUAAAACAUUCGAUUCAUUAAAAAGUUUUCAAUAUGGAAGCAAUAGCAUCCAUCACAAAAUAACAUGCAACUACAACUAUGGGAGGUGAAUAGAAAAUUAACGAGUAAAAUUAAAACAUUUUUCAGUUUGAGGAGACUAUCUCAACUCCAUGUAAUAUUCUUCCAGGGUUAAAACAUUUUUUUUUCUAAUACCUUUGUCUUCAAAAGUGUGGUCUGGGGGCCAUCAACAUCGGACUUCUGAAGGGGGCUUGUUGGAAAUGCCACAUCUCACUCUCUGCUAUAGCUCUUCUUGAGUCUGUUGAAUCAAAAACUGCAUUUUUACCAAAGCACCUCAGGAGAGGGUCAGUUUUUCACUGUUAAUCCUUUGGAAGACAUCUAAGUUGUUACAGAAAUUGAAAGAAAGGAGUGGACAGACACAGAGGGAUUAACUAAGUCAUUCUACAGAAUGAUGUGUGAACAGGACCCAAUUUUGGAACACACCCCUAGGGCAUCAGAUUUUGCAGUGACCUGUUAAGGAGAUGUCACUCACAAGUAGGCCACCUCCCCUUGGUCCUUAUAGUAAUUACAAAUUAAUCAGAAAAUUAUAGAACCGAAACUUUUAGAAGUGAGACAAAUGCUAGAACCUGUAAUAGUGAGUGCAUGUUAGGCUUUGAGCCUCAGACUAGGUGUGUCCCCCCACAAUUUGGGUAUGAACUUAAAAAUAAACAUGUUCUUGGUGCGAUUAGAGCCUCACAAGCCAUGGGACCUUGAGCACAUUUCUUCCUAUCUUGGAAUCUCAGUCCAUAAUCUGUAGGAUCCACUCGGCAAACUUCAGAGUCAUCAUUGUAUCUUAAGGAAGGAAUGUAGAAGGUGCUUUGAAAACUGUGAGUACUUAGAAUGUUAUCAUAGGGCAGAUUUCAAGCCUGAGUCCCAGUUUCACCCAAUUAAUUGUAUCUUGGGUGAGAUAAUAUCGUAGUAAAAGUCUGCUUGAAGCAAAGAAGGUGAGCUAAUUAAUAAGACAACGUCAUGGUGUUCCCUACACUGUCCAGAAGGAAAGGGUGCUCUGAUUCUCAUGUUCAAGUGUAGGUAGGGAACCAU
rnacentral:lncRNA from 1 species